CAGCAGCCGCGGUAAUACGUAGGGUGCAAGCGUUAAUCGGAAUUACUGGGCGUAAAGCGUGCGCAGGCGGUUUUGUAAGACAGAGGUGAAAUCCCCGGGCUCAACCUGGGAACUGCCUUUGUGACUGCAAGGCUGGAGUGCGGCAGAGGGGGAUGGAAUUCCGCGUGUAGCAGUGAAACGCGUAGAUAUGCGGAGGAACACCGAUGGCGAAGGCAGUCCCCUGGGCCUGCACUGACGCUCAUGCACGAAAGCGUGGGGAGCAAACAGGAUUAGAUACCCCAGUAGUCCCUGUCUCUUAUAC
rnacentral:rRNA from 1 species